rnacentral:sRNA from 1 species
GCUCGAGCUUCCUCGGGGAGUGCCAGCCAGAGUCGGUGACGACCACUUCCUCGACGUGGGGCGGGCGGACGGGAAGCCUGCGGUCGUGGCCCCCGCCUCGGGAGCUCUGGGAGCCCGGGUGACCGCGUAGAAAUGAACACAGAAGCGGAGCAACAGCUUCUCCAUCACGCCAGAAAUGGCAAUGCUGAAGAAGUAAGACAACUAUUAGAGACCAUGGCGAGGAAUGAAGUGAUUGCUGACAUUAAUUGCAAAGGAAGAAGUAAGUCUAACUUGGGCUGGACACCUCUACAUCUGGCAUGCUAUUUUGGACACAGACAAGUGGUCCAGGAUCUGUUGAAGGCUGGUGCAGAAGUAAAUGUGUUGAAUGACAUGGGAGACACACCGCUUCAUCGAGCUGCCUUUACAGGACGAAAGAUGGAGUGUCGCUCUGUUGGCCAGAAUGGAGCUCAGUGGCGCGAUCUCGGCUCACUGCAGCCUCCACCACCCGAGUUCGAGUAAUUCUCCUGCCUCACCCUCCCGAGUAGCUGGGAUUACAGCCAUGCACUACCAUGCCCGGCUAAUUUUUGUAUUUUUAGUAGAGACGGGGUU